rnacentral:rRNA from 1 species
AGAGGAAGUAAAAGUCGUAACAAGGUUUCCGUAGGUGAACCUGCGGAAGGAUCAUUAUUGAAUAAACCUGAUGGGUUGUUGCUGGCUUUUAGGAGCAUGUGCACGCCUGUCAUCUUUAUCCAUCCACCUGUGCACAUUUUGUAGUCUUCGAGUAAUAAGCGUAACACAUAUCGAGGAACAAUUUUGGUCCUCGGACAGAGGCCUGCCAUGCCAUAGUGUGGCUGACCUUAAUCGUUGCGCAAGUUCUCUGAGUCUAUGUCUUUCAUAUACCACACAAAAUGUAAUAGAAUGCUUUUAUUGGGCCCUAGUGCCUAUAAAAUGAAAUACAACUUUCAGCAACGGAUCUCUUGGCUCUCGCAUCGAUGAAGAACGCAGCGAAAUGCGAUAAGUAAUGUGAAUUGCAGAAUUCAGUGAAUCAUCGAAUCUUUGAACGCACCUUGCGCUCCUUGGUAUUCCGAGGAGCAUGCCUGUUUGAGUGUCAUUUAAUUCUCAACCCCACCAGCCGUUUUUGGCUGGCUUGGUGGCUUGGAUGUGGGGGAUGUUUUGCGGGCCUCUUUGGAGGUCAGCUCCCCUGAAAUGCAUUAGUGGAACCGUUUGCGGGACCGUUCACAGGUGUGAUAAUUAUCACCACCGAAGACAAAACCGCUCUCAUGUAGUUCUGCUUAUAACCGUCCUUUUGCAUGGACAAUGAUAUUUGAAUGCUUGACCUCAAAUCAGGUAGGACUACCCGCUGAACUUAAGCAUAUCAAUAGCCGGAGGAAA